ACCAGGGAUGAUAAUGACAGUACCUGGAGAAUAAGCUCCGGCUAACUCCGUGCCAGCAGCCGCGGUAAUUCCAGCUCCAAUAGCGUAUAUUAUUAUUGUUGCGGUUAAAAAGCUCGUAGUUGGAUCUCGGUUUCGGGCGAGCGGUGUACCUUGCGGUAUUUACUGUUUGCCCGGACGAUUUUGUUGGUUCGUUUAUGGUUCUCUUAACCGAGUGCCAUAAGUGGCCAGCACGUUUACUUUGAAAAAAUUGGAGUGCUCAAAGCAGGCGCUACAGCCUGAACAUUAGUGCAUGGAAUAAUGGAAUAGGAUCUCGGUUCUAUUUCGUUGGCUUUCGGAGUCGAGGUAAUGAUUAAUAGGGACAGACGGGGGCAUUCGUACUGCGACGUUAGAGGUGAAAUUCUUGGAUCGUCGCAAGACGAACUACUGCGAAAGCAUUUGCCAAGAAUGUUUUCAUUAAUCAAGAACGAAAGUUAGAGGUUCGAAGGCGAUCAGAUACCGCCCUAGUUCUAACCAUAAACGAUGUCGACCGGCGAUCCGUUAUCGUUAACUGAAUGACUUAACGGGCAGCCUCCGGGAAACCAGAGUGUUUGGAUUCCGGGGGAAGUAUGGUUGCAAAGCUGAAACUUAAAAGAAUUGACGGAAGGGCACCACCAGGAGUGGAGCCUGCGGCUUAAUUUGACCCAACACGGGAAAUCUCACCAGGCCCGGACACCGGAAGGAUUGACAGAUUGAGAGCUCUUUCUUGAUUCGGUGGGUGGUGGUGCAUGGCCGUUCUUAGUUGGUGGAGCGAUUUGUCUGGUUAAUUCCGAUAACGAACGAGACUCUGGCCUACUAACUAGACGUUAGAUCCCUUUGUGGGUCUAUCGCAGCUUCUUAGAGGGACGGGCGGCGUUUAGCCGCACGAGAUUGAGCAAUAACAGGUCUGUGAUGCCCUUAGAUGUUCUGGGCUGCACGCGCGCUACACUGAAGGAAUCAGCGUGUGUUCCCUACCCGAAAGGGUUGGGAAACCCGUUGAACCUCCUUCGUGAUGGGGAUUGGGGAUUGCAAUUAUUCCCCAUGAACGAGGAAUUCCCAGUAGGCGCGAGUCAUAAGCUUGCGUCGAUUACGUCCCUGCCCUUUGUACACACCGCCCGUCGCUACUACCGAUCGAGUGAUUUAGUGAGGCCUUCGGACUGGUCUUCAGUAUGGCUUUCGGGUCGUGUUGGAGUACCGGAAAGAUGACCAAACUUGAUCACUUAGAGGAAGUAAAAGUC
rnacentral:rRNA from 1 species